rnacentral:rRNA from 1 species
UACGUAGGGUGCGAGCGUUGUCCGGAAUUAUUGGGCGUAAAGAGCUCGUAGGCGGUUCCGUAAGUCGUGAAGUCAAAUCUCUGGGCUCAACCCAGAAUCGCUUUCGAUACUGCGGUGACUGGAGUCCGGUAGGGGAGUGUGGAAUUCCUGGUGUAGCGGUGAAAUGCGCAGAUAUCAGGAGGAACACCAACAGCGAAGGCAGCACUCUGGGCCGGUACUGACGCUGAGGAGCGAAAGCCAGGGGAGCAAACGGG